rnacentral:lncRNA from 1 species
AAGAGAAGUUUGGAUUAAAUGUAUAUCAUUCCCGAGUGAUUUUGUUGGUGUGGGAAUGAAUUCCGGAGCUAAAUGAGUGUUUCGGCGCAAAUUGGGCGCGAAACGAAAUGUAAAAAGGAAAUUUUCAGAUUAUGAUGCUAGCUUUGAUCUAUGCGAUCAAAGUGAGAUAUGAAUGUUAAUUGUAGUAUCUCCGAAUUAUUUUGGAAGUGCGAGGAUAGUUAAUGGAAAAAUUCGGAGAUGCUUGGAUGUAAAAAAAUGUCGAACUUUAACUACGUGGCUAAUUGUGAUCAAAUU